CAACUUUCAACAACGGAUCUCUUGGCUCUCGCAUCGAUGAAGAACGCAGCGAAAUGCGAUAAGUAAUGUGAAUUGCAGAAUUCAGUGAAUCAUCGAAUCUUUGAACGCACCUUGCACUUCUUGGUAUUCCGAGAAGUAUGCCUGUUUGAGUGUCAUG
rnacentral:rRNA from 1 species